rnacentral:rRNA from 1 species
UACAGAGGGGGCAAGCGUUAUUCGGAAUUAUUGGGCGUAAAGGGCGCGUAGGCGGCUUUGCAAGUGACGGGUGAAAUCCCUCGGCUCAACUGAGGAACUGCCUUUGAAACUGCACGGCUUGAGGCCGGGAGGGGGUAGCGGAAUUCCCAGUGUAGCGGUGAAAUGCGUAGAUAUUGGGAGGAACACCAGUGGCGAAGGCGGCUCACUGGUCCGGUACUGACGCUGAGGUGCGAAAGCGUGGGGAGCAAACAGG